AUUCAAGGUUACAACCACAAAAAUAGUGUUUUUUUAUAGGUUGACUCAGCACAACUUCGAAGAACUUUGCUUGCAAAGAAACUUUUUGAAUAACGGGCGAACAAUGAACAUUUUGGUGCCCUAAAAGGGUCAAUUACAAGGGUCAUAACUGAGAUUUAGAUGAAGUUCUUAAAGCUCUUAUCAAGUAUUUCUGUUACUGUUUUUCAUAAAACAGAUUCGCUUUUUAAAGGGGAAAACACAAAGUUGUUAUUUUGGGAAAAUUUUUGAUAUUUUCCCUCAAAAAUGUUUUGCAUUGUUUCCUGAGUGAGCAAAAAGUAGCAGAAAAAAAUUCUCUAUUUCCCCCUUUUUUUACUUUUCUCUUUUUCCCAUCCCUUUUUUCCCUUUUCCCCUACCCUAUGAGGGAAAAAUGUUUUUUCAUUCCCCUUAGAGGUUUUCAGACAUAUGUUUUGCAGGUUGAAGUGUCUGCAAAUUAAAUGUUCUCAUCUAUGAAGAUUGUUCAGCACAUAUCUGUGAAGCUUGUGGAUCAAUAUCAGUUUUCUUUGAUUUGAAAAAAUCGUUGAAAGCUUGAUAUGUUUCUUUUUGUUGGUUAAGCACUCUUGUAUUUCUAUGUCUGUUUCCAGAUGUUAAAAUACCUGAUGUGCUGGAUUUGUGUGCCGACUGUUAAAUUGUAAAAUUUAAUAAAUUGUAGGAUUUAUUAGUCAUUGAUAUUUAAAUCCUAAUUUUGCAGAUUAAAAAUGGUUUAAAACGGUUUACGCUACAAUUUGGCAGUUUAUUAAGUAUACCUAUACUUGAGCUGAUUACAGAUUGUGGACAACAAUGUCGGUCUGGGCUGCAAAAUCAUAUGCAGGCAGCUACAGAGGUAGAAUGGUAGCUAAGCCUGGGCCAAGAAUGGCAGAAAUUAUCGAAGAUGAUAAAGUUACAUUUAAAGAAGAAAUCUCUACUGCAGAGGAUACGUGUACUGUAUUUGUAGUGGGAGAAGAUGUAAAAAAGGAAAUUACAGAAAAUCAAGGUGAAGUUGUAAAGAUUGAAGAAAAGAGACUUAAAAAGAAGAAACUGAGAGAAAAAAGAGAAAAAAGUGGGAAAUCCAGUCAUUUGAAUACACAUAAUUAAAGUAAACAUGAAGGAAUGCGAUAUCCUUGCAAUCAAUGUGAAUACGCUGCUACUGCAGCAAGUCGUCUGAAGAAUCAUAUAGAAUCUAAACAUGAAGGUAAGGUAAGAUAUCCAUGCGACCAAUGUGAUCAUACUGUUACUACUGCAAGAAGUCUGAAGUUACACAUUGAAUCUAAACAUGAAGGAGUGAGAUAUCCCUGCGAUCAAUGUGAUCAUGUUGCCACUAGAGCAGAUGAUCUAAAGAAGCAUAUUGAAUCUAAACAUGCAGGCGUGAGAUAUCCUUGUUCUCAUUGUGAAUUUGCUGCCACUCAACCAACUAGUCUAAAGAAACAUAUUGAAAAUAAGCAUGAAGGAGUGAGAUAUCCUUGUUCUCAUUGUGAAUACGCUGCCACUCAACCAUCUAGUCUGAAGAAACAUAUUGAAAAUAAACAUGAAGAAGUAAGAUAUCCCUGCGAUCAGUGUGAGUACACUGCCACUACAUUAGGAAAUCUAAAGAUACAUAUUGAAUCUAAACAUGAAGGAGUAAGUUAUCCAUGCGAUCAGUGUGAGUACACUGCCACUACAUUAGGAAAUCUGAAGAUACAUGUUGAAUCUAAACAUGAAGGAGUUAGAUAUCCAUGCGAUCAAUGUGAAUACGCUGCCACUAAAGCAUGGGCUCUGAAGAGACACAUUGAAAAUAAGCAUGAAGGAGUGAGAUAUCCCUGCGAUCAGUGUGAUUAUCUUGCUACUGCAUCAUAUAAUCUCAAAAGACACAUUGUAAGGAGACAUGAAGGAGUAAAAUACCUUUGUUAGUAGUGAUAUUCUACCUUUACCGAGCAGUAUCUCAUUAUUAUUAUUAUUAUUGAGAUCAGUGUGAGCUCACUGCCACCACAGCAGGUUGUCUAAAGAAACACAUUAUAAAUAAACAUUGAGAAGUGAGAUAUCCAGUGUAAAUAUCAUGUCAUUAAAAACACAUUAAAAGAAGAAACAUUAAUUAAUAAGUACUUUGCACUGUAAACUGCAAAUUGUCUAUUCUCUUGUUUAUUUUGGGUUUUCCUCGCUUAUCUUUUAUUUAAAGCAGAAAAUGGAAAAUUUAAAAAAAAAUGGUGGGAAAUAAAAUUUGUAAUUUUUAAAAUGUAUUUGGUAAUUUUUACCCCAUA